ensembl:snoRNA small nucleolar RNA SNORD38
UUUCUGUGAUGAUAAUCCUAACCAGUUCUGCUGCUGAAUUUAAUGAGAUGAAGAGAUUUUGUUCUGAGAGAGA